rnacentral:rRNA from 1 species
CCCUUAGAUGUUCUGGGCGGCCCGCGCACUACACUGGCACUCUCAAUCAGAGCCUGGAUCUAACACUUUGGGGUAUUCUAUGAAGUGGUGUCGUGACUGGGAUUAACCCUUGCAAUUAUUGGUUACGAACGAGGAAUUCCUUGUAAUCGCGGUUUAUCAGCCCGCGUUGAAUGCGUCCCUGCCCUUUGUACACACCGCCCGUCGCACCUACCGAUUGGAUGGUCCGGUGAAGCCUCGGGAUUGUGGUUCUUGCCGCUUUAUUGUGGCGUGACCGCGAGAACUUGUCUAAACCUUAUCAUCUAGAGGAAGGUGAAGUCGUAACA